AGGGAUGUGGCUCAGUUGGUAAGAGUGUUUGCCUACCAUGCACAAAGUCCUGGGUUCAAUCCCCAGCAUCUCCC